AAAGACAGAGUAGUUGAGACUUUGCACAUCCCAAAUUUCCUCUGCCCAUCACAGCAACUGGAGCUGAGAGCCAAAUUCACAGGCUGACCAAGAGUAAGAUUCUUUCCGGCGAUAUGCUUUUGAAAACUUGGAAAUUGUGAAUUAUGUUUAUGAGAUUCAUUUCUAAACUGCACCAGAGCUUAUAAAAUAUUACUAUUUACAAUAUCCCGGAACAACAAACACAGCAUGGAAGCAGCUGCCUCAUCAGAGACUGAGCCACAACGAUCUCAGACAUUUGUCUAUUUAUCAUGGAUUGGAUUUCUUUGGCAAACAAUUCAAUAAGGAAGAGGAGCACACCAGUCCAAUGCUAUACUCGACGUUGCAGUGAAAUUUGCCGCUCACCAUCACCCCAAACACUUAGUACUUCUACUUGGAAGAAUUUAUCCUAUGCAUUGGGUUAUAAGAACUCUUUACAUAUUAAGGAUUCUUACAAUGAGUGUGCCAGACAUGAGUAAACAUGAAAGACAAAAAGAAGAAAAGUUUGAUUCAUCUUGACUGGAUGAAGCUGAAUGAGACCAAGAAGCUAUCCCUGCUCUUUGCCUUCACACUUGACGGGGGAGGAUGUGAAUGGCUGUGUGAAGGGGGUGGAGAGACUACUACUGUGGGAACAAUUCCCAGGAAUGCUCUAUCUUCCCCUCUCACUCAGUGUCUACCUGUGUAUUUCCACGGCACUAAUUACUAUGUGGGGGCCCUGACAGAUCACAUUAGCCCAGGGAGAGCAUAAGAGUCAAGGAGAAAGAUUUUCACAUUCUCCUAAAGUUCUGCCUAUAGUUUACAGGUACAGUUUUGGGAACUUUUUUCUCCCAAUCAUUCAAAAUAUUGACUACAAUGUUGCAUUAAUACAAUGCAUCAAUAUUCCUUAGUGUAAUUAAUUUUUUCCUACUAAAUUUGAAGAUUUUGAAUACUUUCUCUUUUGGAGUCAGGCCUACGUUUUUAUUAUUAUAUUUUUUUCACAGUCUUGGUUGAAAAAGUUGAAGUCUGAGAAAAAGAGAAUAUUGAUGCCAUGAGUUCCUUUUCUCCCUGUACACCAGAGAUCCAACUGAAGGGUAGUGAUAAAUUCUUGCCUUCCAAUAGCCAACUCCAAACCAUCACCAAGUGCUCCUUCAUAUACAAGUUACUUCCUCUCUAUAUUCCUAUAUCAUUUCACCUUUGACUGUCAUUGUCUCCAGUACUAUGACUUAAAAUUAUUUAUUUACCUGGAUUUACUGGAUUAUAACUCCAAAAAGCUGGGAAAUUUGUCUUAUUUUUCUUUGUAUUUUCUCCAAACCUAUGUGUAGGGUAAGCCACAUGGUAAUUGCUUAUUGAAGGAAUUGACAAUUCAUUGAAUAAUCUCUUUGUUUUGUUCUCACACUACUUCCAAACUUGAUCAACAUCGGAGUCUGCCAAAUGCUUUUACGAACU
rnacentral:lncRNA from 1 species